CUCGAAAACCGGUACCCACGUUCGGACUGCAGGCUGCAACUCGCCUGCACGAAGCCGGAGUUGCUAGUAAUCGCGGAUCAGAAUGCCGCGGUGAAUGCGUUCCCGGGUCUUGUACACACCGCCCGUCACGCCAUGGGAGUUGGUUCUGCCUGACGGCGUUGAGGUAACCCGCAAGGGAGCCUGGCGACCACGGUAGGGUCAGCGACUGGGGCGAAGUCGUAACAAGGUAGC
rnacentral:rRNA from 1 species